rnacentral:lncRNA from 1 species
GAGUGCGAAAACAUCAACAGCUACUGAUGCAUCAAAAUCAACAAAAAAAAAAUGAUCUCAGGAUCUAGGACUUGUGAAGUUGUUGGCUGAUGAACUGAUGAAGAGUUGCAAAUUUGAAAAGCAGAACUGCAGAACUGGAAAAUUUGAAGACUUGAAGUUGGGAUAGACUGAAUUAGUGAAAUAAGGACUGAUUUGAUUUGGACCAUUUGGUGACUUUGUUUAGUUUGUUUAUUUGCUAGACUUGCAGUACUUGUUGAGUUGUUGUUACUGAUAUGAUUUGGUGAGUGGUGACUUUGAUUUUGCAUAAUG